rnacentral:tRNA from 2 species
GGCUCUGUGGCGCAAUGGAUAGCGCGUUGGACUUCUAAUUCAAAGGUUGUGGGUUCGAGUCCCACCAGAGUCA